rnacentral:rRNA from 1 species
GAUCUUGCUCAGGAUGAACGCUAGCUACAGGCUUAACACAUGCAAGUCGAGGGGCAGCAUGGUCUUAGCUUGCUAAGGCUGAUGGCGACCGGCGCACGGGUGAGUAACACGUAUCCAACCUGCCGUCUACUCUUGGCCAGCCUUCUGAAAGGAAGAUUAAUCCAGGAUGGGAUCAUGAGUUCACAUGUCCGCAUGAUUAAAGGUAUUUUCCGGUAGACGAUGGGGA